rnacentral:rRNA from 1 species
CGCGUAGGCGGCUUGGCAAGUCAGAUGUGAAAGCCCCGGGCUUAACCCGGGAAUUGCAUCUGAAACUGCUUUGCUUGAGUCCUGGAGGGGGUAGUGGAAUUCCCAGUGUAGCGGUGAGAUGCGUAGAUAUUGGGAGGAACACCUGCGGCGAAGGCGGCUACCUGGACAGUGACUGACGCUGAGGCGCGAAAGCUAGGGGAGCGAACG